GCCAAACUGAAUCUUCUCAUAGUUUUCCAGGUUUCACCAUGAGAGAAAACAAUUCCUUAUAAUGAGGAGAGUGUUUUACAAUUAUUUCCUCAAAGCUUUUAUCAUUUAAUUUGCGAGGACAAAUAAAAAUUAAAAGAAGCUUUAUCCUUCCUGUUGAAAAUAAGAGACUCCCCUCUCAAAGCAUUUACUUUAAAGACUUAGCGAUAUUGUUCUGUUCAUGGAAACUACACCAUGUGUAGAAAAAGGAACUUUGCAAGAACGGAUUUUUUUUCAAGAUUAUCCAAGUUUAUCACAAGGAUGCUGAACAGACAAUUGGGCUUGGGUUCAUUCUUCGAUUCUGUGAGACAAGAACCAAGCUGUCCCGUAUCACUACCAAGUACUACACUGUAAAAAGGAAAUGACCACUCAGCUCAUCACGGAUGCCCCAUCCUCCAUUUUGGUGAGACCAACUAAAAGAGUUCCUCAGGAAUGAGAUAAAACAUCAUCAAACCUCAGGGUGCAGGAAAACCCAUUCUUUAACUCACGCUGUAGAUACUCCCAAGAGUAUCGCCACAAUGCUUGAGAGGCCUCCUACCACACCAGUUGGAGAAUGCAUUUGUGGUAUUCAUGAACCAAAAGAGGUCUGUGGCUACUGUGUGCUUUGUGGAGUCCAUGAUAUCCCAAUAUUUAAAGAUGGAAUGUAGAGACACCAAAAUGUGCACAUUAUCCAUGAGAGACAACAGCUUUCCCAAGUUUCAUUAUUGGGAACAUUUGAAGAUGGUGGAAAGAGUAACCAAUUUCCAUUUACCAGAAUUCCUCAUAGGAAUCAUGUUUUGGCUGUUCUGCCUGAGGGGGAAAGUUCAUCCCUACUUUUAAUUAGGACCGAGUUGUACAUGUACAAUUUUUUUCUUUUUGUGUUUCCAAUUUUCUUUCAUUAAGCAAUUUGUACAUUGAAAUCCAUGUCCUUAGCUAUGCUUGAAGAAAUUACAAUAUCCUUUUCCUCCCUCGGGCUGGAAAAGAAGAGCAGCUGAUGUGUGGAUUAUUCCUUCACUGACAUUUCUCUGCUUCAUAGGCAAGAAACUCAAAAGACCAACUUGGGGAGGAUUUUAAAAAAUGUGUUUGAAAUAACUUUAGACAUGUAAUAGUUGUAAAAAUCCUGCAGAGUUUCCAUAUAUCCCUGACCCAGUUUUUCCCAAUGUUAACAUCUUAUGCAAUCAAAGAACCAGGAAAUUAGCACUGAUAGAAUGAAUUCUAGUAAAAGUCUUAUUUGACUUUUACCAGCAUUCCCAGUAAUGCCCUUUUUCUUUUCCAAGGUCCUAUUCAGGAUCUCAUGUUGCUUUUAGUUGUCAUUUCUUUGAGAGGAAUAUUUGCAGUCAGGAAAACAGAAUUAAUGUGCACCUUCCCCCCAUUCUCUUUCUCUACACUUGGCAAGUUUUGUUUCUAAGGAGGAUUUUCUAAUACCUUGGAGACAGUCAGCUCUAUCAUUAAAGAAAUAGGGCUCAAAUCUUUGAUUUUUGCAUGACUAUAUCCCUUAAUAGACUGUAAAUUCCUUGGGACACUUUUUGAUUUGCCACAAUACAAAUUUGAUGAAGAAACAAAUGAACAUAAUUUUCAAAAUAUUCUGCAAGGUUUGCGGUGUUGUGAUUUGUUGUGGCAGCUCAGCAGUGGUGCAGAAAUGACCCACUCAUCUGAGCAACCACCAGUGUCACUUAGCGAAGCUUCCAUGGUGGUUAAUAUGUACUUACCAUAUCGAGCUUGCCUCUGUGCCCAACAAGACUGGACAUUGCAUAGGCUGUGAGCACGCAGGCAACAAGAGAGAGGUAUGUAUUUAUGAUGGCCAGGUACUGUUCCUCGGCAGUUUCAGCGAUGGCUGAAUUAAAGCUGGGCCAAAAUAUCCAUAAGAAAAGAGUCCCUGCAGUAAAACACAGAAAAGGAAAUUAGUUCUGGAUGUGGAAGACAGUCCAGCAGAGGCAGUUUGCCUUAGGUACUGAAUCAGGCAAGUUCAUCUCUACUCACCGAUCAUUGCAAACAAAUCUGAAUGGUACUCAGACUCUUCCUUCUCAUGACCCUUUCUCAAGCCUGUCCGGUACAGGACACCUGCUACUGCCAAGCCAAAGUAGGCCCCAAAAGCAUGGAUGGUCAUUGAUGCUCCAAUGUCAGAGGCCUGAGGGGCAAAGCAUUCAUGGUAUUAGAGGUGAAACUUAGUCCCACUACGGAGCAAAAGUCAAUGAAAGGACUGCUUCAUUGGUUAAAUGAUUGCUCCAUAGUGAGACUCAGUUUCACUUCUAAUAAAAUUAAAAAGAAAGGAAGGAUGUGCCAGAAAGAAUAAAACAGGAUAGUGAAAUUAAAAAACAUACAGACUUUGGAGACAUGCAGAACUGACUUCCAAUGCUCUAUCAGGUACUUCCUUGCAAUGUGACUUUAGGUAAAUUACUAUACUUCUCUGGAUGUCUGUUUCUGUAAAGUGGGAAAUAUUACCCAGCUAAUAUAGUUGUGAGGAGACUUAGUGGGGCCAUGUUUGUAAAGUGCUAGGUAUUCGUGACCUUCCAUUCAUUAUAAGUUACUUUUCCAGGUUAGGGAAAUUCUUACUGAAAUAUUAUGUACUGUGCUUGUUUCAAAAGGAAGAUGCUUUUUGCAUUCAUUUGACAUUACAGUUAAAACUCACUUAAUUGCAAUUCAAAGACUUGAAGCUUUCAAAAGCCCCAGUCUUUCCUAUAUUUUAUUUUUUUCAUUGUGUUAUGUGAUGAUGUGAAAACCAGCUGAGGUCCAAGAUUCAUUUGAAGCAAUAUAUUUAGGUCCCUCCUUAGGACACUAUGAAUUUGAUCCAGUUUUCUACAUUUGUCUGCCACUAGAGGGAAAGUUAGGAGUACCAAAUGUGAGGCAUAGUUCCAUAGUACUUAUUAAGGUAGGAAAAUGAUACAAACUUAUUAAUUUACUUAGGAUUUUCAUACUUGAUAUAUUCUUUUUUUACCAUUCAGAUCCAGCUAAACUGUCACUUCCUCAGAGAGGCCUUCCUUGAUUCCACAACCUAAAUUAGGUCUUCCAGUUAUGCUCUCCCAUAGUCCCCUCUACUUAUUUUUCAUAGCAGGUAUUGCAAUUUAUAAUAAUAUUUGUGUGUGCAUGUACAUGCAGGUGGCUCUGGUGGGUGGGGGAUAUAUGAUUCUCUAUUCGAUGUCUAUCUCUCUCACUGGACUGUAAAUUCUAUAGAUACAGGGACAUUAGCUAUUUUGUCAGUCAAAAUCACCAUCACAUGAUACCUAGAAAAUUUUCGAAAACAUUUUAUGUUGAGAGUAGAG